rnacentral:lncRNA from 1 species
CACGCAGAGCCGGAGUGUAAAGAGGAUAUGGUUAGGAUACGAUGUUUAACAGAGAGAAAGAAAGGAGGAGAAACAACUGUUUGCUUUAGAUGCAAAUAAACUCAACUUCACCUUUAAAGCUGAAAACCUGUGCCCUUGGCAAGACGUUUGGGGACUGUUCCAGAGAUAUUAAUCUUCCUCCGUUUACAUGUUAAAUAGAUCUUUGGAAACGGUUUCUCCAGCACUGUUUUUUCUCUCCGGCACAAUCUCCUUCUCUCUUUCUUUUUUUAGUACAGUCAGGACUCCCCAGCAGCGAGAAGCCCCGGGGGACGAAGGUGGAGGCACCAAGCCGUGUGGAUUUCAGAGCCAUCCGCGGCUGCCGGCUGUUGGGGCGGCCAGGAGUGGCCUGCCAGCAGAUGGCGCUGCGCCGCACGUUAUGGACCCUCGUGUGCCCGACCGGCUCAGGGAAGGAGACAGACGGCUCAAAGUUUCUAGUGCCAUUCCUGGACUGAAACAAAUGUUUGUGGAAUUAAGUAGUGAUUUCCUUUAGUGUGCGCCACUCUUACUGGCUGUGUUUUCAGGCCUAGAUGUUAACAUAUGCCACAUAUUACUUUUUUUUUUUUUUUUUUCCUGGUGAAGUCAGGGGUUUCCAAGCACUCAGCCUCAUCCUAAGUGUUCAUGUCAACUAGCAAAGGUCUGCAUUUUCUGAUAAAAUAACUUAUAAAACUUCCAUAUUAAGAGCUAAAAUGGUUUGGAAGACAAAGAAGUGCUGAGAAAUAGUUAUGCGAGAAUUCCUGGUGGAGGUGGGCAACUCUCUUCCCUGCAGAUAUUCAAGGAUUCAGGCAGAUAGAAUCUCGUUCAUCAUCAACAUGUUGCCUGCAAGGAUCUUAUGGUUUCUCCAUCUCAUCCAGCCAGAAGCAAAUAAAAGCACAGGCAAGCCCACAGAGGAGGAUUUUAUGGGCCAAACCUGGGAGUGACUCAUCACAUCCCUCCCCAUAAUCCAUUGACUAGAAUGUAAUUAUUUGGCCAUACCUAACUUCAAGAGCAGCUGGGAAAUGUGAGCUUGCUGCGUGCCCAGGAAGAAUAAGGAAAAAGGACUUUGGUGGGCAACUAUCAGUUUCUCACUUCUCUUGGUGCUAAAGAGCUUUGUAGUAGGAAGAUUUGCCCAGACUAUUUGUUGCACAGCCAAUCCUCAGACCAUCUUGAAGCAUGUAGAAAAGGACUAAGGAUUGGAAAUUGAGUUAAAAGGUAUUAUUGGGAGACAUUUUUAGCAUCAGCAGCAUCUGCUGGAAAGUUUAUACUCUGAACUCUAGAGAACAGUUUUGUUUAGAGGAUAUUAGCAAAUUUGUAAAGAGAAUAUGUAAAGAAAGCUGAGAAUAAUAUUUUCAAACUCUUUCCUUAUAUCCCAAGUUAACAGACAGCACUAGGGUCAAUACUAACAUGAUCAAGGGGUUAGUUUCUGUUUCCUUUUUUUUUUUUUUUUUUUUUUUUUUGGGACGGAGUCUCACUCUUUCACCCAGGCCGGAGUGCAGUGGCCCUAUCUCGGUUCACUGGAAGCUCUGCCUCCCAGGUUCACGCCAUUCU